GACGUAGGGCGCGAGCGUUGUCCGGAUUUAUUGGGCGUAAAGAGCUCGUAGGCGGUUUGUCGCGUCGUUCGUGAAAACUCACAGCUUAACUGUGAGCUUGCGGUCGAUACGGGCAGGCUAGAGUUCGGUAGGGGAGACUGGAAUUCCUGGUGUAGCGGUGAAAUGCGUAGAGAUCGGGAGGAAGGCCGGUGGCGAAGGCGGCGCUCUGGAACGUUUCUGACACUGAGGCUCGAAAGCGUGGGGAGCAAACAGG
rnacentral:rRNA from 1 species